AUGAAAACAAAGGGAGAGACUAUUAUGUUGUAGCGCCGAAGGAGCAAGCGAAUGAGCGAAUCUCUCAGGCAAAAAGACCUUUGUUUGACG
rnacentral:ncRNA from 2 species